GAUGAACGCUGGCGGCGUGCCUAAUACAUGCAAGUCGAGCGAACAGACGCUGAGCUUGCUCCUCUCACGUUAGCCGCAGACGGGUGUGUCACACGUGUAUCACCUACCUAUAAGACUGGUAUAACUUCGGGACUCCGGAGCAAAUACCGUAUAAUAUAUUGAACCACAGGGUUGAUUAGUGAAAUUCGGCUUUGCUGUCUCUAAUAGCUGGUUCUGCGCUGCUUUAGCUGGUUGGUAAGGUAACGGCUUACCAAGGCAACGAUGCGUAGCCGACCUGACAGGGUGAUCGCCCGCACUGGAGGGGGGACACGGUCCAGACUCCUGAGGGAGGGAGCAGUAGGGAAUCUUCCGCAGUAGUGGGAAACAUGACGGAGCGGCGGCGCGUGAGUGAUGAAGAUGUUCGGUGCGUAAAACCCUGUUUUGAGGGAAGAACAAAUUUGUAAGUUACUAUGCACGGCGUGACGGUACCUGAUCAGAAAGCAACGGCUAACUACGUG
rnacentral:rRNA from 1 species